UACGUAGGGGGCAAGCGUUGUCCGGAAUUAUUGGGCGUAAAGCGCGCGCAGGCGGUCCUUUAAGUCUGAUGUGAAAGCCCUCGGCUCAACCGAGGAGGGUCAUUGGAAACUGGAGGACUUGAGUGCAGAAGAGGAAAGUGGAAUUCCAAGUGUAGCGGUGAAAUGCGUAGAGAUUUGGAGGAACACCAGUGGCGAAGGCGACUUUCUGGUCUGUAACUGACGCUGAGGCGCGAAAGCGUGGGGAGCAAACAGG
rnacentral:rRNA from 1 species